UAGCGGUGCGCCUAACACAUGCAAGUCGAGCGAUAUAGCGGCGAACGGGUGAGUAACACGUUGGAACCUGCCCCAGACUCAGGGAUAGCCCACCGAAAGGUGGAUUAAUACCGGAUGCCCCCAGCAAUGGGAAAGAUUUAUCGGUCUGGGAGGGGCCUGCGCAGUAUCAGCUUGUUGGUAAGGUAAUGGCUUACCAAGGCUACGACGCUUAACUGGUCUGAGAGGAUGAUCAGUCACAAUGGAACUGAGACAAGGUCCCAUACUCC
rnacentral:rRNA from 1 species